UGUAUAUGGUGCCUGCACAGGUAUUCCAAGCCGACAGCAGUUGUUCAGAACGACUCCCACCCAGCCCUGUCAGCUGGGGACUGAAGGGGCUGAGAAUGACGGGUACUCACGACACCCAGCCCCACUGACAGCUCCCUUCCUAGCUCUGAUCCCCCUAAGCACCUCCAACCCAUUCCCGGCCCCACGUAUUGGUUUAGGUUGUUGGGGCCUCCAUGAAGCCUCAGUCUUCCUGGAAGUGAGACUUGUAAAGCAGAAGGAAGCAGCUGCUAGGCUCAAGCAGGGACCUACCCUACCACAGGGACACGGCCACUUCUGAUGCCUGGGAGACUCUUCUGCUCCUGUCUCCCAUGGUGGGAGGCACCUGCAGAGUGCACUGGGUGGGACAAAUAAGCCCGUUCUCCUAUCCCCUUUGAUGAGAUUUGUUCCUGAUCCUGGCAGAGGUGGGCUCCCAAAUCACUACCUAAGCCCCACCGGGCCCCUGCAGCUGCCUUACAGAAAGGCCGGGGGGGGGGGGGGGCUUCUGACUGUGCUGAGUGACUCCCUUGGCAAAUGCAGAGCUUUUCUUUUCCAGGUUUUUAGUUUUGUGUGCAUUCAUGUUUUACCUGCACAUGUCUGCACAGCAUGCAGUCUGGUAGGGCGUGGCAAGCCCAGGAACUAGAGCUCGCUCGAUGGCUGGGAGCCCAGGCUGAGGGCUGGUCCUUUCCACCGAGCCACCACUCCAGCCCCAGCUGUUCUGAGAUAGGGUUUCACUAUGUAGCCUGGGCUAGCCCCAAACUCACAAGACUGGCUUGCCACCAGGCCCAGCUUAUGAUAGAAACAGGGACAAUAUCGGGCACAGAGCACCGAAUAUUAAUAUCCUCUUGACCCACGCCAUCUCAGCUUCUCCAGUGUUCCAAACAAGACACAUUUUGUCAGACAACUACAUCAGCAAGGCCAGGUGGCACCCGAGGACAGCUAUCCAGGGAAGUCCUCAGGGCGCACUACAUCCCACUGUGGGCCUGGUGAGGAUGGGGCUUCGACAACCAUGAACCGGACUCAAGAGGAAAGCAGAGGUCUCCAAGAUCCAUCUUCAUCCUGUGGUGGGGGAGCUUUAACUCCUACCCAGGGACGCCUCAGCCACUUCACUUUAGUGAAGCAAGCACCAUGCACACACGUGCUGCGGUCUGUCUAAUCUGUGCGGCUCACCCGGACACGGCACGCACUUGUGUCAGGCAGCGCCGGGAAGAAGCCCUUCUCCUCACACAGGAGGCCAAGGAAGAAAAGUGCUGUUUGGAUGACCUGACAGACUCUAAUUUCUCUUGUACUCACAAGUCGGGGAUGGGUGAGGGAGAGGGGGCUGCUGGGGACAGUGAGGUGGGUGCCCACCAGCUACCUUUCUUUGGCAAAAGCAAGCAAAGAAGCUACAAGGCUAGAGGCCAGGACGGCAGCCACCUUCACUCUCUGUGGAAAGCCAGAGCAGCCUGGGAAGCCAGACAGAAAGAGGCCCCAUCCUCAGCUCUGGUGCCCUCCCUGUGUCAAAGGAAAACACCCAGGCUGCCUGCCAACCUAGAAAAGCCUCCUGUCCUCCUGCUGACCUGUGCCCCACUCGUGCAGAUGGCUGACCUCACUUCCUGUCGUCUUCACACAUGUGCAAACAUUACUAAGUAAGUAAGGGAAAUAGAGGGAGAGGGAGGGAGAGAGGGAGGGAGAGGGAGGGAGGGGGGAGAGGGAGGGAGAGGGAGAGGGAGAGAGGGAGAGAGAGAGAAGUCUGCCCACCUGAGCAGAAGCAAAAGGAGGAGUCUGGGCAUUUCCCAAGAGGCCAUACUGUAAGGCCCUCAGAGCUCAGCCUUCUUCCCAAGCCCCCUCCCAUCCCCACCCCUACCCCCAGGGAGCAAGAGUCGGAGAGGACUGGCCUUGGAGCCUGGACAAUGAGCUGGUCUUAUUCAGUCAUACACAUGGAUCUAGCUCCCAAGAAGGGGCCCUCACCACGGCCCACACCAGGUCCAGGUUCAAAAGCCACAUCCAGCUGUUGGAGCUGUGAGGCUCGCCAGUGCCCCUCCAUCAUAUGUGAAGGUACAGCCACCCCACCAAAGGCCUCAGACAGACCCUGACAAAGGUCACUUGCAGUGUGACCACAGACCCCUAGCUGUUAUACAAGGGUAUCACCCUGGUGAUCUCCCGCCGACAGAUCGGGCACCUCUUGGGCUCUGGCAAGGCAAGGUAACACUGGCGGCAGGAACACACAUGCCCGCACUCGAGGAAGACACAGGACUUGAAGUUGCUCAGACACACAACACAGGCGCUCUUCAGACUCUCCCUGUCCUCAGGCGAGGCUUGACUCAGCAGCUGGGCCUCGUGUUCAAGGAACUCUUCCUGGAGCUGCUGCUGGCGCAGGCGCUCCUGCCGAUGAAGGUACUGCUUCCUCAGGAUGAAGAAGAGGGUGGCACAGGUAGCAAAGCCGAACACCAGGACCAGAAUCUUCCAGAGCCGGACACUAGACUCCUGCCUGUGCAGCAGGCUGUCAAAGUCCUGGCUGCUCAGGUAGUACUGCAUGCCCUGCUUGGGGGGCUGCAGGCGGACAGCGUUGUUGUCCAGGACCAGUUCACCGAUCCCCGUGAGGGUGGCUCCCACCUUCAGCAUCUCCUCUGUCUCCUGGAUGCCUUUGGGCCUCUCGCCACUGAUGUAGUGGCCGAUGGCAUCGGUGAAGGACUGCACAGAGGGGUGGAACUUCUCGUACACGGUCUCUAGGCCCAGAUCCACUGAAUCCAGGGGCUUCAGCACUCGCACGGACACAGCCACGCCGUCCUCGUGGGGCACGAGGUCAAAGGGCACAGUGUUAGUCCUCUGGUGAAUGAUCUUGGAAUAGUCAUUCCUAAA
rnacentral:lncRNA from 1 species